rnacentral:rRNA from 1 species
UACAGAGGUCUCAAGCGUUGUUCGGAUUCAUUGGGCGUAAAGGGUGCGUAGGCGGCGCGGUAAGUCGGGUGUGAAAUCUCGGGGCUUAACUCCGAAACUGCAUUCGAUACUGCCGUGCUUGAGGACUGGAGAGGAGACUGGAAUUUACGGUGUAGCGGUGAAAUGCGUAGAUAUCGUAAGGAAGACCAGUGGCGAAGGCGGGUCUCUGGACAGUUCCUGACGCUCAGGCACGAAGGCCAGGGGAGCAAACGGG